rnacentral:rRNA from 1 species
AGAGUUUGAUCAUGGCUCAGAUUGAACGCUGGCGGCAGGCUUAACACAUGCAAGUCGAACGGUAACAGGGAGGAGCUUGCUUCUUUGCUGACGAGUGGCGGACGGGUGAGUAAUGCUUGGGAAUCUGGCUUAUGGAGGGGGAUAACUACGGGAAACUGUAGCUAAUACCGCGUAAUAUCUUCGGAUUAAAGGGUGGGACUUUCGGGCCACCUGCCAUAAGAUGAGCCCAAGUGGGAUUAGGUAGUUGGUGGGGUAAAGGCCUACCAAGCCGACGAUCUCUAGCUGGUCUGAGAGGAUGACCAGCCACACUGGAACUGAGACACGGUCCAGACUCCUACGGGAGGCAGCAGUGGGGAAUAUUGCACAAUGGGGGGAACCCUGAUGCAGCCAUGCCGCGUGAAUGAAGAAGGCCUUCGGGUUGUAAAGUUCUUUCGGUGAUGAGGAAGGUGUUUGUUUUAAUAGAGCAAGCAAUUGACGUUAGUCACAGAAGAAGCACCGGCUAACUCCGUGCCAGCAGCCGCGGUAAUACGGAGGGUGCGAGCGUUAAUCGGAAUGACUGGGCGUAAAGGGCACGCAGGCGGUGACUUAAGUGAGAUGUGAAAGCCCCGAGCUUAACUUGGGAAUUGCAUUUCAUACUGGGUCGCUAGAGUAUUUUAGGGAGGGGUAGAAUUCCACGUGUAGCGGUGAAAUGCGUAGAGAUGUGGAGGAAUACCGAAGGCGAAGGCAGCCCCUUGGGAAUAUACUGACGCUCAUGUGCGAAAGCGUGGGGAGCAAACAGGAUUAGAUACCCUGGUAGUCCACGCUGUAAACGCUGUCGAUUUGGGGAUUGGGCUUUAAGCUUGGUGCCCGUAGCU